rnacentral:rRNA from 1 species
UACGUAGGGUGCGAGCGUUACUCGGAAUUACUGGGCGUAAAGGGUGCGCAGGCGGUUCUGCCAGUCAGGCGUGAAAGCCCCGGGCUUAACCUGGGAAUGGCGCUUGAAACUACAGGACUGGAGUAUGGCAGAGGGAGGUGGAAUUCCACGUGUAGCGGUGAAAUGCGUAGAGAUGUAGAGGAACACCGAUGGCGAAGGCAGCCUCCUGGGCCAAUGCUGACGCUCAUGCACGAAAGCGUGGGGAGCAAACAGG